ensembl:lncRNA
CUGGACUGCCAGGGAAGUCCCAGGCACACUAAAUUUUUAACAGGACACUGCUGCCCAGUUUGACAAGAGACAUGGAUGGUGGGGGGGAUUGGGAGAACUGGGGACUUGCCAGAGGAAGGAUAUAUUGCCAACAAGAAUCCGUCAGGCCGGUACUGGGCAUCUACAAUGCUCCAUGCUUUCUCUGUGUUGACGUUUAAUCCUCACAGCAACUCUGUGAGGUCGUUGUGUUUUCUCCAAUUUACAAAUGAAGGAAUUGAGACCCAGUAAUCUCCAGGAAUGUACCUUGAGUUGCACAACGAGUAAGCGGCAGACUGGGGGUGCACACACUGUGGGGCAUACUCUGAGCUCUGUUCUUUUUCUAUGUAUAAUCCUAUACCUCUCUACCCGUCUCUCAGUCAUGCUUGAUUAAGAGGCUUUUCUAAUUUCCUAGUCAGAAGGAACACUGGACCCGGGUGGUUCCCAGUGCAGGGGGCCCAGGUUCAACCCCUGGUCAGGGAACUAGACUCCACACGCCGCAACAAAGGUACACGUGCUGCAGUGAAGAUCUGCAGGCCACAACUAAGACCCAAGGCAGUCAAAUUAAAAUAAAUUAAUUUAAAAAAAUUUUUUAAGAAUUGACAGGAUUAUUAUUAUUUUUUUAAAAAGAAGGAAAUUGGAAGCCAACACAUCAUAUUUUAUCACCUAUCAUCCCAUGUCGUGUGUAAUGCCAUGUCACAUCACAUCAGUGUUUGGUUAGGUAAAUUUGGAGAAGGAAAUGGCAACCCACUGCAGUAUUCUUGCCUGGAGAAUCCCAUGGACGGAGGAGCCUGGUGGGCUACAGUCCACGGGGUCGCAAAGCGUCGGACGCGACUGAGUGACUUCACUUUCAGGUAAAUUUAUGAUUAAACAAUGUGGGUUUCUUUCAGUCACACAGAUUUAGUUAUUUUCACCUCUUCUUUUUGUUGUCCACAUACGUUUCCCAGGUAUACAACUCCUCUGGGUAUUUGAGCUGGUUGGAUUUUGCCAGGCCAUUAAAAUCAGGGGCAGGUGGGCCUGACCAGGUAAAUCAGGCAAGGAUCAAGCCGACACCACCGACCAAAGCUUCCUUAGAGCCAGGAUGCUCCCUGCUGCAGUGCUUUGCACAUAACAGGUUUUGGGGAGCUUUCCAUCCCUUCCAACACAGAGAACUGAAGCAGGAGGUUAAGACUGCCAUGAGAGGCUUAGUUGGGAUGUAAGGAAAGGCCUAGUGAACUUGGAAGAUGGUUAGAUGCCAACGAGAAGACACUCAGGCUGAGAGAGCUUUCCCAAAGUCCACACAGCAAACAGCAGCGACUCUGACCUGGAUGGCCAUGUCUGAACACCUUCCUCUGCCCCUGGAGAAAAUGACUGACUACCGAGGAAGCGCAGGCCCAUCCAACAGAAUCAAGGCCAGAGUGGGUCUCCUGCCGCCUCCCCUCCCACGGUCUGUGCAGAA